rnacentral:tRNA from 1 species
AAAGGGAGACCUAAUUCCGGUAGGAGACGAAAAAAAAGUAGUCCCUACCAAGAAUCAAUCCCAAAAGGUCGGAACGAGGUAUGAGGCUUUCAAACUAGGUUCUGGGUUCAAACAAGACCUGAAUCAGGAACAAGGGCUAUUAGCUCAGGUGGUUAGAGCGCACCCCUGAUAAGGGUGAGGUCCCUGGUUCGAGUCCAGGAUGGCCCACCUGCACAGGUGGCAAAAACAAGAGAAGCUCCGAAUCAGCACCUUAUCUUACUGACAUAGCAAGAGAGAAUGCUGGCUCUGAGUAAAGAGUCCAGAGGAACCUUGAAAACUGCAUAGAGCUAGGUGAAAAAGCCAAAAAAGAAGACCGCAAG